rfam:Gossypium raimondii Chr10_contig_930, whole genome shotgun sequence.
AAACCAUGUAUUAAGCAUUUUUUAUUAACUCUUUGAAUCGCUCCCAUCCUUCAAAUAAUGUUUCAUCCUCAAAUUUUCAAAAGGACAUAAUAUCGUUCCUCAGUUU